GGCAACAUGGCGUCCAGGCCCAAGCGGCAUGCAGUGGGCAGUAGGGUGUCAGUCCCACGCAAGCAGGUAGAAGAGGAAGAUGAAGUCGAGGAUGAGGACAAAGAUGAUGAAGACAGUGAGGAAGAAGAGGAUGAAGACGACAAGAUCAUCGACGAGGAAGUGAAUAUUGAAUUUGAAGCUUACUCUAUCUCAGAUAACGAUUAUGACGGAAUUAAGAAAUUACUGCAGCAGCUUUUCCUAAAGGCUCCUGUGAACACUGCAGAACUAACAGAUCUCUUAAUUCAACAGAACCAUAUUGGGAGUGUGAUUAAGCAAACGGAUGUUUCGGAAGACAGCGAUGACAAUGUGGAUGAAGAUGAGAUUUUUGGUUUUAUAAGUCUUUUAAAUUUAACUGAAAGAAAGGGGACGCAGUGUGCUGAACAAAUUAAAGAGUUGAUUCUAAGCUUCUGUGAGAAGAACUGUGAAAAGAGCAUGGUUGAACAGCUGGACAAGCUUUUAAAUGACACCACUAAGCCUGUGGGCUUUCUACUAAGUGAAAGAUUCAUCAACGUUCCUCCACAGAUUGCUCUGCCCAUGCACCAGCAGCUUCAGAAAGAACUAGCAGAGGCACACAAAACUAACAAGCCAUGUGGGAAGUGCUGCUUCUACCUUCUGAUUAGCAAGACAUUCAUGGAAGCAGGGAAAAAUUCCAAAAAGAAAUGGAGCAAUGAAGAGCAAGUUGAGUUAAUGUUUGCAAAUGCAGAGGAAGAAUUUUUCUAUGAGAAGGCAAUCCUGAAGUUCAGCUACUCGGUGCAGGAGGAGAGUGACACGUGUCUGGGAGGCAGAUGGUCCUUUGAUGAUGUACCAAUGAAGCCCUUGCGAACUGUGAUGUUAAUUCCAGGCGACAAAAUGAAUGAAAUCAUGGAUAAACUGAAAGAACAUCUAUCUGUCUAACCCAUUUCCCAUGGACAGUGGUGUGCUUGUUUUUGUAAAAUGACCAGAAAAUUCAGUGGAGAUUUAUUGAAAAACUUAUGACUUUAUUCAGAUUAAGGUCCUCUACAAAAAGUAGGAUUCUGUUGCCUGUGUCCGUGACACAUUUACAAAAUAUCUUUUUUUUUUUAAUUUUAGUCAAAUUAUGAAUGGUUGAUUAAAAAUUUUUCCAAUAAGAAGAAAUCAUGGAGUAGUAAUUUAAAGAAUUCAAUAAAAACUUCUAUUUUUUAUUUUUAAAUAAUAUACAGUGUUAUUUUUUUCAAGACUAUUCUGUGUGGGGUAUGAUAUCCUUCUUCACGUCGAAUAUCUGCACGUGGCUCCAGUGGCCCAGUUGUUAGGCUAACUUUAGGAUGUUUAUUGCACAGCGUGUUCCGUGUAGAAGAUUCUGAAGAGUCACUGUAUAGUGCAUCUUUGUU